GGGGUGCUCGAGUGGCGAACGGGUGAGUAACACGUGAGUAACCUGCCCUUGACUUUGGGAUAACUUCAGGAAACUGGGGCUAAUACCGGAUAGGAGCUCCUGCUGCAUGGUGGGGGUUGGAAAGUUUCGGCGGUUGGGGAUGGACUCGCGGCUUAUAAGCUUGUUGGUGGGGUAGUGGCUUACCAAGGCUUUGACGGGUAGCCGGCCUGAGAGGGUGACCGGCCACAUUGGGACUGAGAUACGGCCCAG
rnacentral:rRNA from 1 species